rnacentral:rRNA from 1 species
AGCAGCCGCGGUAAUUCCAGCUCCAAUAGCGUAUAUUAAAGUUGUUGCAGUUAAAAAGCUCGUAGUUGAACCUUGGGCCUGGCUGGCCGGUCCGCCUCACCGCGUGUACUGGUCCGGCCGGGCCUUUCCUUCUGGGGAACCUCAUGCCCUUCACUGGGCGUGUUGGGGAACCAGGACUUUUACUUUGAAAAAAUUAGAGUGUUCAAAGCAGGCCUUUGCUCGAAUACAUUAGCAUGGAAUAAUAGAAUAGGACGUGUGGUUCUAUUUUGUUGGUUUCUAGGACCGCCGUAAUGAUUAAUAGGGAUAGUCGGGGGCAUCAGUAUUCAAUCGUCAGAGGUGAGAUUCUUGGAUUGAUUGAAGACUAACUACUGCGAAAGCAUUUGCCAAGGAUGUUUUCAUUAAUCAGUGAACGAAAGUUAGGGGAUCGAAGACGAUCAGAUACCGUCGUAGUCUUAACCAUAAACUAUGCCGACUAGGGAUCGGACGGUGUUAGUAUUUUGACCCGUUCG